CUGGCUCAGGACGAACGCUGGCGGCGUGCCUAAUACAUGCAAGUCGAGCGAACCACUUCGGUGGUUAGCGGCGGACGGGUGAGUAACACGUGGGCAACCUGCCUGUAAGACUGGGAUAACUUCGGGAAACCGGAGCUAAUACCGGAUAAUCCUUUUCCUCUCAUGAGGRAAAGCUGAAAGACGGUUUCGGCUGUCACUUACAGAUGGGCCCGCGGCGCAUUAGCUAGUUGGUGAGGUAACGGCUCACCAAGGCGACGAUGCGUAGCCGACCUGAGAGGGUGAUCGGCCACACUGGGACUGAGACACGGCCCAGACUCCUACGGGAGGCAGCAGUAGGGAAUCUUCCACAAUGGACGAAAGUCUGAUGGAGCAACGCCGCGUGAGCGAUGAAGGCCUUCGGGUCGUAAAGCUCUGUUGUUAGGGAAGAACAAGUACCGGAGUAACUGCCGGUACCUUGAC
rnacentral:rRNA from 1 species